UACGUAGGGGGCAAGCGUUGCUCGGAAUCACUGGGCGUAAAGCGCACGUAGGCGGCUUGUUAAGUCAGGGGUGAAAUCCUGGAGCUCAACUCCAGAACUGCCUUUGAUACUGGCGAGCUUGAGUUCGGGAGAGGUGAGUGGAACUGCGGAGUGUAGGAGGUGAAAUUCGUAGAUAUUCGCAAGAACACCAGUGGCGAAGGCGGCUCACUGGCCCGAUACUGACGCUGAGGUGCGAAAGCGUGGGGAGCAACAGGG
rnacentral:rRNA from 1 species